ensembl:misc_RNA 7SK 7SK RNA
GGAUGUGAGGGCUCUCUGGCUGCGACAUCUGUCACCCCAUUUAUCACCAGGGUUGAAUCGACUGAUCUAGCUGACUAGGCGGGUAUCCCCUUCCUCCCUCACCGCUCCAUGUGCAUCCCUCCCGAAGCUGCGUGCUCGGUCGAAGAGGAUGGCCUUCCCCGAAUAGAGACGGACCUGUCUUAAUUUGAGGGUAUACAAGUAGUUGUGCUCCCCUGCUAGAACCUCCAAACAAGCUCUCAAGAAUGCAACUAGCUGAACAAGCUAAAACAGUAUCAGAACAGGACAACAAAAUAGAUGAACUUC